AACGAACGCUGGCGGCGCGCCUAAUACAUGCAAGUCGAGCGAGAAGGUGUAGCAAUACACUUGUAAAGCGGCGAACGGGUGAGGAAUACAUGGGUAAUCUACCAUCGAGUGGGGAAUAACCAGCCGAAAGGUUGGCUAAUACCGCGUACGCUUCCGAGUCUUCGGGCUUGGAAGGAAAGCCGCACUGUGAGUGCGGCGCUCUUUGAUGAGCUCAUGUCCUAUCAGCUUGUUGGUAGGGUAACGGCCUACCAAGGCUUUGACGGGUAGCUGGUCUGAGAGGACGAUCAGCCACACUGGCACUGCGACACGGGCCAGACUCCUACGGGAGGCAGCAGUAAGGAAUAUUGCGCAAUGGGCGAAAGCCUGACGCAGCGACGCCGCGUGGGGGAUGAAGGUCUUCGGAUUGUAAACCCCUUUCGGGAGGGAAGAUGGAGCGAGCAAUCGUUCGGACGGUACCUCCAGAAGCAGCCACGGCCAACUUCGUGCCAGCAC
rnacentral:rRNA from 1 species